rnacentral:rRNA from 1 species
UGCGUAGGCGGGUCUUUAAGUCAGGGGUGAAAUCCUGGAGCUCAACUCCAGAACUGCCUUUGAUACUGAGGAUCUUGAGUUCGGGAGAGGUGAGUGGAACUGCGAGUGUAGAGGUGAAAUUCGUAGAUAUUCGCAAGAACACCAGUGGCGAAGGCGGCUCACUGGCCCGAUACUGACGCUGAUGCAAAGACUGGGGAGCGAAACAG